UUUCCGUAGGUGAACCUGCGGAAGGAUCAUUAUUGAAUGCAAUUGGAGUCGGUUGUCGCUGGCCUCUUCACUGAGGCAUGUGCACGCCUUCUCCGUUCAUCCACACACACCUGUGCACUUGUGAGACGGACUAACCCUUCCGAGGGGAUGCCCCGUCUAUUAUACAUAAACUCCAAUUUAUUAAAUUUGAAUGUAAUCAGAUGUAACGCAUCAUUGAACUAAGUUUCAACAACGGAUCUCUUGGCUCUCGCAUCGAUGAAGAACGCAGC
rnacentral:misc_RNA from 1 species